rnacentral:tRNA from 1 species
UGGUGGUAGUAUAAAAGUAUGUUUUCCUUCCAAGAAAAAGGCCCAUAAAGAUUGGUCACCAUAU